GGUCCAACAUGCCGAAGGAACAGCAACACGGUUCUUGUGCUUCAUCCAGCAAGAAUGCUAAAAAUAAGAGCAACCGCACAACUCUGCUGGCAAUGCGUGACGCCAGAGACAAAGACGCCUCCAGCGGGACGUCCUUCCGGUGCAGUUCGGAAAAAGACUCCGGAUACUCUGACGGGCAGCAGACCGACGUGGAGGACCAGGACAAAAGCCAGCGCAGAGGAGGCGAGCGGGCGGGACCUGCGCAGACGGGACGCAACGAAGGUCUUGGGCGCGGGAAUCCUGGGAGACCGAGCCCAACGCCAGCAGGCGGCGAGCUCCCGCCCAUCUACAUCAUCAACAACAUCGUGAUCCAGCAGGGACGUCACCAGGACGUGAUCCAGAACCGAGAUCAGUGCCCCCAGAGGAGCGUCUGCAUGGAGGACGGAGGUUCUGCCGCUGCUCGUGUGAUCCUGGCGCCGGCCACUCGCCAGGUCCACGGGUUCUUCCCGAGUUCCAUCAUCACAGGGAGGAAAAUAAAUGGCACUUACCGCCUCUGUGAGCGGCCCCGAUCUGCAGCCUCCAGCUCUCCCGAUCGCCCGUCCUCCUCCAGUCCCACCACGGGGCCCGUAAGCCAAAGCACCCCGCCCGGUUCCGCCGCCUCCUCCGUCCUCAAAACCAGAGGACCGCACGGAAACGGCUCCACCAGAACUCGCCAGCUCCGGUUUCACGACACCGCGGAAAUCUUGAGGCAGUCGGGUCUGUUGGACAUAACGCUGCGAACGAAGGAGCUGCUGCGGCAGAGCAACGCCACGGCGCGGGACGUGGCCCAGCUCCGCCGGCACACGGAGCUGCUGUGCCGGGCCGUCAGCGACCCCGGCGCGACCCCGGAGCAGCUGCACCGAGCCAUGGCCGAGUCGGGCAGCUACCCCGGCAUAGAAAUCCUGAGAAACUUUCAAAUUCCAGAUUCCAGCGAUUCCGAGGUGCCGUCGGCCGGUCUUCUCCGGGCCCGAGGCCCGCCGGCGGAGAAAGACCGCUUCACGCCUCCCGACAGCUCCACCGGUUAGCACCACCUGCUGCGCCUUCGGAGGCAGAGCGAGCACUCAGGGCUACUUUGGGGAUUUCAUGUGUGGCUUUAAUGGUUCAUCCCUGGUUAUUUAAACUUGUUUUUUUACAGGGAUUACCCAAAAUGUCUCUCUGGGUCAACGAGAAGCCAACAAUCACUCGUAUUUAUUGUAUAUUUCAGUUUGUGUUUUGUUUCCAGUUGUCGGAUGUCAUCGGGUUUGAGUGUUCGACAUCUACGUGGAAAAUAAUGUGUUUCCCCGAGGAGACAAAGUGAAUUUGCCUAAACUCGGGUGGCAAAAAUCCCGACCGCCUUAAAUCAGUGAAAGGAUGGAAAUGCUUUCUGGUGACCUGCACGGGGAAAAGAGAAGCCAAUCCAAGCCCGGUGCCUUUUUUUAGGAAAAGAAUGUAGCACUUAAACCUGCGCUGUGUGGUACCACAGACUGGACUGCCGUGUGCACCAGGCCUUGCUCGCUCUGUUUUCACCUGAUGUGUUCUGCAUCAACAGGGCUCGUCAUUCUCAUUCUCGUCAUUCUCGUUUCUCAUAUCAUAUCAUAUAUCAACAAACACAGGAAACAUCCGUUGAUCCAUUUCUCAUGUUUUCCAUGUAUGACGGACAGCUUUUUCCAAAGUGUUUCAGUGUAUUUUUCAUAAUUUCAAGGUAUUUAAAUAAAGCAUUAUGAGGAACAUCCUUUGCAAUUGUAUUUUAUGAGUCGGUGACCUUUAAUCUGUCUGUCGCAGUUCAUCCGUUGAGCUCCAUGGCAACAGAAAACUACCGGAGCCUCAAAGAAUCAAAGCUGUGAUUGUUAUGAAAACAGGUGUUGUUUUCACAGAGACUGUUGAAGUAGUAAGUGUUUAAAGCAAUGUAUUUUUAAUACGUAUUUCUACACAAUAUCAACAGCAUUUUGCACAGCUAAUCAAUUUAUGUAUGAAUAUAUUGUAGAUGGUUAUAUUGAGGAAAUGUUAAUGCUUGUUUGGAUUAGAAUUGGAUUAGAAUCUGUUUAACAAUCAAAUAAAAUAGAAUUAUAUUUUUUCUUUUACAUAAUAUUAAAGUAAUGUAACAUUUAGAGGGAACAUCCAUCAUAGACAUAAAAUAAACAUGUGGC
ensembl:lncRNA